UACAGAGGGUGCGAGCGUUAAUCGGAAUUACUGGGCGUAAAGCGCGCGUAGGCGGCUUUGCAAGUCGGGUGUGAAAUCCUCAGGCUUAACCUGGGAACUGCAUUCGAGACUGCGUUGCUAGAGUAUGGGAGAGGGAGGUGGAAUUUCCGGUGUAGCGGUGAAAUGCGUAGAGAUCGGAAGGAACAUCAGUGGCGAAAGCGACUUCCUGGACCAAUACUGACGAUCAUGUGCGAAAGAGUGGGGAGCAAACAGG
rnacentral:rRNA from 1 species